AUGGAGUACGAGCACCGGUACAACAGCAGUGGCAGCUUGGGCAAGGAGAAGAGGCCUCCGGCGAAGAGGGGGCAGGUCAAGCUGCAGAUAGCGAGGGCGCUGAGCAACCUCGUCUCUCCCGGCGCCGCUGCCGACGGCUCGAAGCAGGCAAAUCGCAGCAGCUUCAGAAGGGAAACAAGCUACAACUGA
rnacentral:rRNA from 1 species